UUUUUUAUAGACUGUUGUUGUCCUUCCUCAUUUUCUCCACAUUUUUAGUAGAUGGAAGAGACAGGAUACAAGGGAGGAUUCACAAAUAAGUAUCCCACUCCCAAGUCCACAGUCACUUAAAUCGCAUUUCCACUCCAAUCUGAUAAUUAGUCAGUAAAACAACAGAACAUAAAGCUAUAUGAAUAUAACCCCGGUUCUCUGAUGGAGACCGGUGUGGAAAAUGUUCACUCUCACGCUGUAUAAUUGCUUCUCUCUCUCACUCACACACACUAGAGUCAUUCCUUUCACUUGAGUGGUAGGUCACUCAAUGCAGGGUAGCAGCACUGUGGUAUUCUGUGGAUGAAACAAUUUAAUCCUGCAUGUUUGCCUCCACAGCCCAAGAGGAAUGUGGACACCUAUUGACAUUGUAGUGACAAAACCUCUCACAGUCUGCAUUAGCAGGUGAACUUUGCUUCGGGUCUGCUUGCACAAUAAUGUGGUAUGGGUGAGGUGUAGGCUGUAGAAGCUGAGUUUCUUGUGGAUGUGUGUUUGUUACUAGUCCUCUUGUACAUGUAUGUGAGAAUUAAAUUACUGUUUUUCUGUC